rnacentral:rRNA from 2 species
UGGGGAAUAUUGCACAAUGGGCGAAAGCCUGAUGCAGCGACGCCGCGUGUGGGAUGACGGCCUUCGGGUUGUAAACCACUUUCAGCAGGGAAGAAGCUUUUUGUGACGGUACCUGCAGAAGAAGCGCCGGCUAACUACGUGCCAGCAGCCGCGGUAAUACGUAGGGCGCGAGCGUUAUCCGGAAUUAUUGGGCGUAAAGAGCUCGUAGGCGGUUUGUCGCGUCUGCUGUGAAAGCCCGGGGCUUAACCCCGGGUGUGCAGUGGGUACGGGCAGACUAGAGUGCAGUAGGGGAGACUGGAAUUCCUGGUGUAGCGGUGAAAUGCGCAGAUAUCAGGAGGAACACCGAUGGCGAAGGCAGGUCUCUGGGCUGUUACUGACGCUGAGGAGCGAAAGCAUGGGGAGCGAACAGG